AUCUACAAAUUUUCUAAUAUCUGUGGCUAUGUAUGAAUACUUCAAACUAAAAAAGAUAAAUAUUAAAAAAAAAUUUAACAUCAAAUAAAACCACUUAAUUAAAAAAAACAUUAAUACAACAAAAUUAAACAUGAAAUAAACACUUUAGUGAAUUAGAAUGCAUAGAAAUAAUAGUAAAAUUAUGAAAGAAUAUCCUAUUUUCAUUAAAAUAAAUAAAGCUAACUAUAGUCAACAAUGGUCAACUAUAGUAUAUGGGAAGGAGUUGACUAAGUCAAGUAAUUAAUGACAACAUGGGAAAUAAGAGUUAAUUUUAUCAAAAAGAUAGGAUUGGAUAAUAAAUAAAUUUACCUAGAACUAGAGUUAGUAGUCUAGAAUAAUUAAAGCACUAGAUUAAGUGAUAUUAGUGUAUUAAUGAAUGAUUAAGUUUACAACAUGACACAUAAGCUAUUGGGCCUCACCCUAAGUAGGAUUAUGACCCAUUAUAUAAGGCACAGUGGUGCACCACAAACACAAGAGAGAGGGGGACCAAAUUCUCUCAUCCUCUCUUGACUUGGAGACAAGUAAGGAUCAUUGGGGGCCAAUUCAGACCCAUUGAGUGCAUUCAAAGGGCUCUUUACUCUCUUCCCUUCCCCUAAGCAAAUUUCAGGGACUACAAAGAGGAUGGGGGUUUUUCUAUCUCUUCUCAUGCUAUUUGUUUUUUUAUGGAGCAUGACUCUAUGGAAUGGGUCAUUGUGACCUUUGAAUUGCUCUUUUGUGCUUGAGAAAUUGAAUUUUUAUGUGCAUUAUGGCUCUGUUUUCGUUGCAGUGGAAAAUUGAGUGACUAUUUGUGUAUUUAAACCUCAAAAUUGAGUUCUAUGGGCCGGGGCCGGAAAACCUUGGUUACAUAUAUAUCAUGCUAGGGUUCAUUUCUAGAAUCAAUUAGUACCAAAUUUUUGUCUUUUAAUGCUCUUUUUGAACUAUUUUUUGUGUGCUUACGGGGAAUUUAAUUUUGACAGUGGAUAAAAGAUGCUGUAAAUGCUUAUUAUGAGUAGAUUCCCAAAUAAAAUGAUUGGUCAUAUAUGUAUA